AAAUAAAUAAAUAAAUAGCCUUGGCUCGGCUGUAGACUCAAAGAACCAACUGGAGGUAUGCAGCUCGAAUUCGACUUAGCGGCUCAAUCAGCUCUGCACUGGAGUGGGUCGUCGGGUCAAGCGAAAUAGAUCGAGCUUGCGAAAUGAAAAACACGUGGGUCCUGGUCUAUUUUAAACCUGAAACGGCGUCGUUUUCAUGCAAUAUAAAAUCCCAAUUUUCAGUUUUGUCCUCGGACUUCACCUGCUUUCUCUCUCUUCUCUUUUCCUUUCCUCUGUCUCUCUCUAGGACAUGAAGAAUAUGGGCUGAGCUUCCAUCAGUUUCUAAAAUUUCACCAUCGGAAACUAGGGAGGCAGCAAAGCAUUGGUCAGUUAUUUGCAGCUGAGGAGAUCAGUUGUCUAUAAACUUUGAAGGUGAUCAUAAUGUACACAAAAAAAAAAAA